rnacentral:rRNA from 1 species
UACGGGGGGAGCAAGCGUUGUUCGGAUUUACUGGGCGUAAAGGGCGGGUAGGCGGCCACCGCAAGUCGACUGUGAAAUCUCCGGGCUUAACCCGGAAAGGUCAGCCGAUACUGCGGGGCUAGAGUGCAGAAGGGGCAACUGGAAUUCUCGGUGUAGCGGUGAAAUGCGUAGAUAUCGAGAGGAACACCAGUGGCGAAAGCGGCUUACUGGGUCUCUUCUGACGCUGAGGUACGAAAGCUAGGGGAGCGAAGGGG